AGUAAGCACACUACCCGAUAAUAGACACAUUGAUAAAUACUUGGGGUGAAACGGUAUGUCUAUUCGUAUUGAACCGUUCUGUACAGGGUGCACGGUUCGGUACGCACUGCGAACCGAACAAUACAUGAAUCAUAUUAUAGCUAGGAAAAUAUAUAUCAUUGUAAAAAAUAUAUUAUUGCAUAAACCAAUAGCGUAUAAAUUAACGUGGGAAAAAUAUCCACAUAGUAAUAAAGUUGUUAUAGUUGUCGGCAGCUCAGCUCAUUAGUUAUUUCACUCCAGCGAGAACAGAGCUGAGAGACCGUCGUAGCAGCAUUUCGUUUAUGAAGGAAUUAGCAGCUAGCUAAAUGCAAAGGAGCAACAUGGCAAGCUUUGGCGAGCCAGAACUAGAAGACGCCCCAGUAUCAUGCAUGUCUGCCGUCUGGGAACAUUUCAGGUUCCCUGUAAACAAUAACGGGGAUUUCCGACGAGUGGUGGAUAAAACUUCUACAACAUGUAGGCUCUGUUCAUUACUGAUAGCCUAUUAGAGUGGUGGAUAAAACUUCUACAACAUGUAGGUUCUGUUCAUUACUGAUAGCCUAUUAGAGUGGUGGAUAAAACUUCUACAACAUGUAGGUUCUGUUCAUUACUGAUAGCCUAUUAGAGUGGUGGAUAAAACUUCUACAACAUGUAGGUUCUGUUCAUUACUGAUAGCCUAUUAGAGUGGUGGAUAAAACUUCUACAACAUGUAGGUUCUGUUCAUUACUGAUAGCCUAUUAGAGUGGUGGAUAAAACUUCUACAACAUGUAGGUUCUGUUCAUUGCCGAUAGCAUAUUCGAGUGGCAAUACGAGUAACAUGACUACUCAUUUGGGCCGACAUCACCCCGAAAUGCCAAUCGGUGGGACUAGGCGAAAAAAAAUAAACGGCAACCACUUCUCCCCACACAGCCUCUGGCAACAAUAUGCGUCCGGUAGGGCUAAAGAAAUCAAGCAAAAUUCAUAGCGGCAGAUAUGAUACCCUUCUCUGUGGUAGAGAAUGCGGGGUUCAGAAACAUGUUUAAAUUGGUCGAGCCGCGCUUCACUAUUCCUUCCCCGUACACAUUUUGCCCAGACAUGAAUACCUGUCCUAUACAAAAAAAACACCAAAAAAAACAACUUGAGAGAGAGUUGUCAGAAACGCUGUCUGUUACUCUAACAACAGACAAUUGGACGUCUAGAGCUAUCUUACUGUAACGGCUAAUUUCAUUAUGGCAUAGUGAGAGAUAAAAAGCCACGUCCUUUAAACACGUCCUCUUGAGAGUAGUCACACCAGGGAAAACUUUGGGGAAGAGCUAAGGGAAGUAGUUGCAGUGUGGAUGUUGGAGAGGGAUAGUGAUUCCUGUGACCACUGACAAAGCUAGAAAUAUUGUAAAUACAGUUGCACUAGCUGGAUUGAGGCCACAAAUAGGAUGCUUUGCUCACAUUAUUAAUCUAGCAUCUCAAAAAGCAGUAUCACCUCCUGUUUUCAAGACAAAACAGGAGCUGUUGGAGCUGCCAAACUACAAACUAAUCCAAGAUGCCACUACUUGAUGGAAUUCAAGCCAUGACAUGGUUGAGAGAUACCUUGAGCAGAAAGUCACAGUGUAUUCUACACUGACUGAUCAAGCUGUGAGGAAGAAUGUCAAAGAUAUUGUGACUUUGUUUGAAAAUGACCUAAGACUAGCAGAGGAAGUUAUCAAAGUGUGCCUCUCAAAACAGUCACAACACUUAUAUGCACUGAGAGCAUUCCAUCAGUUUCCGGUCUAUGAAAACAAUGAUCCUGAAAUCAAUGGUGGCAUCUGAUGAAGAUGAACCCGCAGUAAGGGAUGUCAAGACUGCUAUCAGAGUUAACCUGGAGCCUAGAUAUGCUGACCCUGGUGUCCAAGACUUCUUACACAAGAGCACCGCUUUGCUGCUCGUCUGAGAGUCUACAAUGAACUCACAGCAGAGAUGGUGACCAAUAUACAACAGGUAUUGUAUUUAUUUUGUUAAUGUGACAUUUAUUAUUUUAUUAAUUAGUGAUUUUACAAUUAAUUAUAAAGUAGUAAUUGUCAUAGUUGACGCAAGAGCACAAAAAAGAGCUUUGAGGACACCUCACCCUGGGUGAACUUGAUGGAAGAUUUGGGUUUAGAUGAUGCAUAGACACAGCCACCAGAAGCACUGCAACUAAUAAUAGCACUGCCACCUCACGACACAACCACCCGAAGCACAGCAACUAGCAACUCGCACUGAAGUGCCGCUUUAAAAAUAAAAUUCAGAGCAUGGGCUGACUUGGUCCUGGAGAAAGAGUAUAUAAGAAGCAUGCUUUCAAUGGAAAGGCAUGAUAGUGCUACUUGACUUUUCACCGACAGAUAGCUCGUGAUACUUCAACUAUCAUCAACCUAAAAGGUAAAUAUCUGACUUUCAUACUCUAGAACAAUUGUAUCUCUUGACUUCUGAUUUCUGAAUGAGACAUACUGAGACUGCUACCCAGUACACUCCUUGUGCUGAAUACAUCUACCUCCUAAACUGAGUGGAUAAAUAGCAACAGUGGUGUUACAAAGGGUCUUGAUCUCGAACCGUUCUCUUCACUAAUCACUAAAUCAUAGUACAAACUUCUAGUAGGAGAAACAGAUACUGAGUGAUUGGAUAAGCCUCUAGAACAAUUGUGAGUGGAAGAACAUACUCUUUGGAGACCAACCAGGUCAACCUACACUAAGGUAAUUAACCGCUUGUUGUAAUACAUAUAUAAGGUAAUUAACAGCUUGUUGUAAUACAUAUAUAAGGCAUUAAUAGUAGUAAGUGUUUUGACGAUGUUUGAUGUUAUAGAUUAAGGACCAGAAAGAAACUGUAAUAACGUGUACAACUGUGUGAACUGCAAACAUUGAAUAAAAAGUAGAAACUAGACCCAAAACCCUAGGGGAGAGAACAGCUCUGACACUCCCAAUCUAGGGAAACAAGUCUAGUUUCUACACUAAAGACAAUAUGAUGGUUUGGACAGAAUAAUCAUUUUAUUGUAACAGGUAUCCUCUAUAUUAAUACUCAAGUAGUAUUAGUCGACGGACAUAGACUGUAACUCGUAACCAAGGUAUAGCUUACGUGAGUCUGGAUAUAAGAGCAUACAAAGGGAAAGUAAAGCAAGAGGUACUCUAAGUCUGAUUGAUAUUAUCUAAGAUAAUCCCGAAACCAGCCUAACGGCAUCACACAAGGCUGAUCUCUGAAUAAAGGGCAGGAUACAUAACCAGGUCAGUCCGGCGGAUCUAACAGUCACCUGUUAGCCGGGUGACAUUAGAACUUGAGUGAGAAGACUUGUAUCAAUCUCGACGGGGGUACCUUAACGGUCCUAUAGCAAAAUCCCCUACCGCGACACAGUGUCUGAUAUAUAUAUAUAUUUCUAACAACAAAUCAUAUUUUGAAAGCCACUUCAGAGAUAGUAAUUCUCAUCUAAUUUAAUU